UUUUUUUUAUCACUAAGUUUUGUUAUUUUUUAAUGAUAUUAAUUUAGAAUGACAUGUGGCACUCAUUGGUGUGAUGAUGUGUUACUCAUAUGGAGAGUGUUGGCCAACUUUCAUAUAUAUAAUUUUAUCAGAGAUCAUUUCUAAACUAGACAUUUUAAAGUUGUGUAUUAUCUACCUAAAUUAUCCAUAUAAAAGAUGGAAUAGCACAUUGCAAGUAUUAUAUCGUA
rnacentral:sRNA from 1 species